rnacentral:rRNA from 1 species
ACGAACGCUGGCGGCGUGCUUAACACCUGCAAGUCGAACGGAAAGGCCCUGCUUUUGUGGGGUGCUCGAGUGGCGAACGGGUGAGUAACACGUGAGUAACCUGCCCUUGACUUUGGGAUAACUUCAGGAAACUGGGGCUAAUACCGGAUAGGAGCUCCUGCUGCAUGGUGGGGGUUGGAAAGUUUCGGCGGUUGGGGAUGGACUCGCGGCUUUUCAGCUUGUUGGUGGGGUAGUGGCUUACCAAGGCUUUGACGGGUAGCCGGCCUGAGAGGGUGACCGGCCAAAUUGGGACUGAGAUACGGCCCAGACUCCUACGGGAGGCAGCAGUGGGGAAUAUUGCACAAUGGGCGGAAGCCUGAUGCAGCAACGCCGCGUGCGGGAUGACGGCCUUCGGGUUGUAAACCGCUUUCGCCUGUGACGAAGCGUGAGUGACGGUAAUGGGUAAAGAAGCACCGGCUAACUACGUG